rnacentral:rRNA from 1 species
GACGCACUGUCCAAACGUUGUUCGGAAUCACUGGGCUUAAAGGGCGCGUAGGCGGCCUUGAAAGUCGGGGGUGAAAUCCCACGGCCUAACCGUGGAAGUGCCUCCGAUACUGCAAGGCUCGAGGGAGGUAGGGGCAGCUGGAACUUCCGGUGGAGCGGUGAAAUGCGUUGAUAUCGGAAGGAACGCCGGUGGCGAAAGCGAGCUGCUGGACCUCUGCUGACGCUGAGGCGCGAAAGCCAGGGGAGCAAACGGG